UAACACAUGCAAGUCGAACGAAGCAUAGCAAUAUGCUUAGUGGCGACGGGUGAGUAACGCGUGAACAAUCUGGCCCUAUACAAAGGAAUAGCCUCGGGAAACUGGGAUUAAAACCGUAGUAACACUUUAGUAUCGCAUGGUACAUAAGUCAAAUUGAUUAAGAGGUAUAGGAUGAGUUCGCGUCUGAUUAGCUAGUUGGUGAGGGUAAUGGCUCACCAAGGCGACGAGUCAGUAGCCGGCCUGAGAGGGUGAACGGCCACACUGGAACUGAGACACGGUCCAGACUCCUACGGGAGGCAGCAGUGGGGAAUAUUGCACAAUGGGCGAAAGCCUGAUGGCAGCGACGCCGCGUGAGUGAAGAAGGUCUUCGGAUCGUAAAACUCUGUCCUUGGUGAAGAAAAAAUGACGGUAGCCAAGGAGGAAGCCCCGGCUAACUACGUGCCAGCCGCCGC
rnacentral:rRNA from 1 species